rnacentral:rRNA from 1 species
UUGAUCCUGGCUCACCACGAACGCUGGCAGCGCGCCUAACACAUGCAAGUCGAACGAGAGAGAAGGAGCUUGCUUCUUCGAUCGAGUGGCGAACGGGUGAGUAACGCGUGAGGAACCUGCAUCAAAGAGGGGGACAACAGUUGGAAACGACUGCUAAUACCGCAUAAGCCCACGGGUCGGCAUCGACCAGAGGGAAAAGGAGUAAUCCGCUUUGAGAUGGCCUCGCGUCCGAUUAGCUAGUUGGUGAGGUAACGGCCCACCAAGGCGACGAUCGGUAGCCGGACUGAGAGGUUGAACGGCCACAUUGGGACUGAGACACGGCCCAGACUCCUACGGGAGGCAGCAGUGGGGAAUAUUGCACAAUGGGGGAAACCCUGAUGCAGCGACGCCGCGUGGAGGAAGAAGGUCUUCGGAUUGUAAACUCCUGUUGUUGAGGAAGAUAAUGACGGUACUCAACAAGGAAGUGACGGCUAACUACGUGCCAGCAGCCGCGGUAAAACGUAGGUCACAAGCGUUGUCCGGAAUUACUGGGUGUAAAGGGAGCGCAGGCGGGAAGACAAGUUGGAAGUGAAAUCCAUGGGCUCAACCCAUGAACUGCUUUCAAAACUGUUUUCUUGAGUAGUGCAGAGGUAGGCGGAAUUCCCGGUGUAGCGGUGGAAUGCGUAGAUAUCGGGAGGAACACCAGUGGCGAAGGCGGCCUACUGGGCACCAACUGACGCUGAGGCUCGAAAGUGUGGGUAGCAACAGGAUUAGAUACCCUGGUAGUCCACACCGUAAACGAUGAUUACUAGGUGUUGGAGGAUUGACCCCUUCAGUGCCGCAGUUAACACAAUAAGUAAUCCACCUGGGGAGUACGACCGCAAGGUUGAAACUCAAAGGAAUUGACGGGGGACCGCACAAGCAGUGGAGUAUGUGGUUUAAUUCGACGCAACGCGAAGAACCUUACCAAGUCUUGACAUCCUGCGACGAUGCUAGAAAUAGUAUUUUCCUUCGGGACGCAGAGACAGGUGGUGCAUGGUUGUCGUCAGCUCGUGUCGUGAGAUGUUGGGUUAAGUCCCGCAACGAGCGCAACCCUUAUGGUCAGUUACUACGCAAGAGGACUCUGGCCAGACUGCCGUUGACAAAACGGAGGAAGGUGGGGAUGACGUCAAAUCAUCAUGCCCUUUAUGACUUGGGCUACACACGUACUACAAUGGCGUUAAACAAAGAGAAGCAAGACCGCGAGGUGGAGCAAAACUCAGAAACAACGUCCCAGUUCGGACUGCAGGCUGCAACUCGCCUGCACGAAGUCGGAAUUGCUAGUAAUCGUGGAUCAGCAUGCCACGGUGAAUACGUUCCCGGGCCUUGUACACACCGCCCGUC